rnacentral:rRNA from 1 species
UACGAAGGGGGGCUAGCGUCGCUCGGAAUCACUGGGCGUAAAGCGCACGUAGGCGGCUUUCUAAGUCAGGGGUGAAAUCCUGGAGCUCAACUCCAGAACUGCCUUUGAUACUGGAGAGCUUGAGUCCGGAAGAGGUGAGUGGAACUCCGAGUGUAGAGGUGAAAUUCGUAGAUAUUCGGAAGAACACCAGUGGCGAAGGCGGCUCACUGGUCCGGUACUGACGCUGAGGUGCGAAAGCGUGGGGAGCAAACAGG